AGAGUUUGAUCCUGGCUCAGGAUGAACGCUAGCGGCAGGCCUAAUACAUGCAAGUCGGACGGGAUUGGGGAGCUUGCUCCCCAUGAGAGUGGCGCACGGGUGCGUAACACGUAUGUAACCUACCUUUAUCAGGGGGAUAGCCUCUCGAAAGAGAGAUUAAGCCCGCAUAACAUCACGAUAUAGCAUUAUAAUGUGAUCAAAUAUUUAUAGGAUAAAGAUGGGCAUGCGGAACAUUAGCUAGUUGGUAAGGUAAUGGCUUACCAAGGCUACGAUGUUUAGGGGAUCUGAGAGGAUGACCCCCCACACUGGUACUGAGACACGGACCAGACUCCUACGGGAGGCAGCAGUAAGGAAUAUUGGUCAAUGGGCGGAAGCCUGAACCAGCCAUGCCGCGUGCAGGAAGACGGCCCUACGGGUUGUAGACUGCUUUUGCAGGAGA
rnacentral:rRNA from 1 species